AGUUGUAGAAUCACUGGUGAAUAAGGGGUGGGCAAGUUCUGGUGUCAGCCGCCGCGGUAAAACCAGCACCUCGAGUGGUCAGGAGGUUUAUUGGGCCUAAAGCAUCCGUAGCCGGUUGCAUAAGUUUUCGGUUAAAUCUAUGCGCUUAACGUAUAGGCCGCCGAAAAUACUGUGCAGCUAGGGAGUGGGAGAGGUACACGGUACUCGAUAGGAAGGGGUAAAAUCCUUUGAUCUAUUGAUGACCACCUGUGGCGAAGGCGGUGUACCAGGACACGUUCGACGGUGAGGGAUGAAAGCUGGGGGAGCAAACCGGAUUAGAUACCCGGGUAGUCCCAGCUGUAAACGAUGCAGACUCGGUGAUGCAUUGGCUUGUGGCCAAUGCAGUGCCGCAGGGAAGCCGUUAAGUCUGCCGCCUGGGAAGUACGUACGCAAGUAUGAAACUUAAAGGAAUUGGCGGGGGAGCACCACAAGGGGUGAAGCCUGCGGUUCAAUUGGAGUCAACGCCAGAAAUCUUACCUGGGGAGACAGCAGAAUGAAGGUCAAGCUGAAGACUUUACCAGACACGCUGAGAGGUGGUGCAUGGCCGUCGCCAGCUCGUGCCGUGAGAUGUCCUGUUAAGUCAGGUAACGAGCGAGACCCCUGCGUCUAGUUGCUACCAUUACUCUCUGGAGCAGUGGAGCGAAUUAGACGGACCGCCACAGUUAAUGUGGAGGAAGGAAGGGGCCACGGCAGGUCAGUAUGCCCCGAAACCCUAGGGCUACACGCGGGCUGCAAUGGUAUUGACAAUGUGUUCCGAAUCCGAAAGGAGGAGGCAAUCAUCAAACAAUAUCUCAGUUAUGACUGAGGGC
rnacentral:rRNA from 1 species